UGCAAGUGUUUUAAUAUUUUUGGGUAUAGCAAUGAGCUUCAGUGGCUCUACAGCAGGUUCUGGUAGCGGAACAACUCGAACAUCAUUGGAAUUUGGGAGGACUCAUGUUGUUAGGCCUAAAGGAAAGCAUGAGGCAACUAUUGUUUGGCUACAUGGUCUAGGUGAUAAGGGCUCAAGCUGGUCCCAGCUUCUUGAAAGCUUUCCACUUCCUAAUGUCAAAUGGAUUUGCCCAACUGCUCCUACUCGUCCUGUUGCUGCCUUUGGUGGAUUCCCCUGCACUGCUUGGUUUGAUGUAGGAGAUAUUUCAGAAGAUGCUCCUGAUGAUUUGGAGGGCUUAGAUUUUUCUGCAGCGCAUGUUGCAAAUCUCUUAUCAACAGAGCCAGCUGAUGUGAAACUAUGUGUUGGAGGAUUCAGCAUGGGAGCUGCAACUGCUCUUUAUUCAGCUACGUGUCAUGCAUUCAGUCAGUAUGGUAAUGGAAGCCCUUAUCGAGUUAACCUGUGUGCAGUUGUGGGCCUUAGUGGCUGGCUUCCUUGUUCAAGGACAUUAAGGCGACGAAUGCAAGGAGUGAAUGAUGCUGUAAGGCGUGCAGCAUCUUUGCCAAUUCUGCUCUGUCAUGGCACUGGUGAUGACGUUGUGGCAUAUCAACAUGGAGAAAAAUCUGCAAGAAUUUUAAGCUCGUCUGGUUUUCAGAAUCUAACCUUUAGGACUUAUGAAGGGCUUGGUCACUACACAAUUCCUGAAGAGACUGAUGAAAUUUGUCGCUGGCUGUCUGCAAAUUUGUGUCUCGGGGGGACAUGAUAAGAAUUGUUGAAGCUCUGGUAUACGUGAUAUACACGAAGAAGAAAAAUAACUGCCAUAGUGUAUGAACAGCUAGCCUAGGGAGAGUGGUUCAUGGUAUACUUGCAUUAAGCAUCCUAUUAUGUUGUCUUGUCUAUUAGUAUCUGUUGUAUUAGUAAACAAUAAAUCACGUGUGGCUAUGCAAGUUUUUACAAAUUUGAUUUUUUUUUUCUCUUGAGAGGCAAAGAAAUCAGUUUGUCCUUGUUAGUUCUCUCUUAAUUAAAACAGCCACAGAACUGUUAUAUCUUAGUUAUCACUUUCUCAAAAGAGAAUUUUUUUUUUCCAAGUACUUAAAAUAUUAUUUGUAUGUUUGUGUGCUUGUAUA
rnacentral:misc_RNA from 1 species